GUCUUUUUGAUAUUAAUUUAAGGUUUAACCUGCCCAAUGAUAAAUUAAAUGGCCGCAGUAUUUUGACUGUGCUAAGGUAGCAUAAUCAUUAGUUUUUUAAUUAAAAGCUGGAAUGAAGGGUUGGAUGAAAAAUUAACUGUCUCUAAUUAAUUUUAUUAGAAUUUUAUUUUUAAGUAAAAAAGCUUAAAUUUAUUUAAAAGACGAGAAGACCCUAUAGAGUUUAAUAUAUUUAAUUUAUAAAUAUUUAGAAUUUAUUUUUUAUAAUUAUAGUAUAUUUGAUUGGGGUGAUUAAAAAAUUUAAUAAACUUUUUUUAUAAAUUUAUAUUGAUUAAUAAAUUAAUGAUCCAAAAAUUUUGAUUAUAAGAUAAAUUACCUUAGGGAUAACAGCGUAAUUUUAUUAGAGAGUUCUAAUCGAAAAUAAAGUUUGCGA
rnacentral:rRNA from 1 species